CCCUUGGGGAUUUUCCGCAAUGGGCGAAAGCCUGACGGAGCAACGCCGCGUGAGGGAUGAAGGCCUCUGGGCUGUAAACCUCUUUUCUCAAGGAAGAAGAUCUGACGGUACUUGAGGAAUAAGCCACGGCUAAUUCCGUGCCAGCAGCCGCGGUAAUACGGGAGUGGCAAGCGUUAUCCGGAAUUAUUGGGCGUAAAGCGUCCGCAGGCGGCCCAGAAAGUCUGCUGUUAAAAAGUGGAGCUUAACUCCAUCAUGGCAGUGGAAACUUCUGGGCUAGAGUGUGGUAGGGGCAGAGGGAAUUCCCGGUGUAGCGGUGAAAUGCGUAGAUAUCGGGAAGAACACUAGUGGCGAAGGCGCUCUGCUGGGCCAUAACUGACGCUCAUGGACGAAAGCCAGGGGAGCGAAAGGGAUUAGAUACCCCUGUAGUC
rnacentral:rRNA from 1 species